GGAGUAAAAUUCAAUCAACUCUGAUCACUCUGACGUUCGUCAAGAGCGUUUCUACCCCAUCCCCGCUGCCCCCCCCCUCCACCGUCACACACACACACCCGUUUUUUUUUCCGCGAUAUUAAUUCCGGUAUAUUUUCUCCGAGAAAUAUUACAGGCGUAUUACCGUCAGUAGUAUUAUUAUCAUUAUCAUUAUUAUCAUUAUUAUCAUUAUUGAAGGGGACGGGACGUGGACGCGACGAAAAUAUUCGAUAAUAAAUUACGUUCAACGAAAAGU